UGAACCUGCGGAAGGAUCAUUACCGAGUUGAUUCGAGCUCCGGCUCGACUCUCCCACCCAAUGUGUACCUACCUCUGUUGCUUUGGCGGGCCGCGGUCCUCCGCACCGGCGCCCUUCGGGGGGCUGGCCAGCGCCCGCCAGAGGACCAUAAAACUCCAGUCAGUGAACUUUGCAGUCUGAGAAACAAGUUAAUAAACUAAAACUUUCAACAACGGAUCUCUUGGUUCUGGCAUCGAUGAAGAACGCAGCGAAAUGCGAUAAGUAAUGUGAAUUGCAGAAUUCAGUGAAUCAUCGAAUCUUUGAACGCACAUUGCGCCCCUUGGUAUUCCGAGGGGCAUGCCUGUUCGAGCGUCAUUUCAACCCUCAAGCUCUGCUUGGUAUUGGGCUCCGUCCUCCACGGACGCGCCUUAAAGACCUCGGCGGUGGCGUCUUGCCUCAAGCGUAGUAGAAAACACCUCGCUUUGGAGCGCACGGCGUCGCCCGCCGGACGAACCUUUGAAUUAUUUCUCAAGGUUGACCUCGGAUCAGGUAGGGAUACCCG
rnacentral:rRNA from 1 species